UGGGGAAUAUUGGACAAUGGGCGCAAGCCUGAUCCAGCCAUGCCGCGUGUGUGAAGAAGGCCUUAUGGUUGUAAAGCACUUUAAGCGAGGAGGAGGCUACUUUAGUUAAUACCUAGAGAUAGUGGACGUUACUCGCAGAAUAAGCACCGGCUAACUCUGUG
rnacentral:rRNA from 2 species